rnacentral:lncRNA from 9 species
CUCCGGUGCUGAGCAUGGCGCCGGGGCGGGGUGGUCGGACUUUGCCGGGGCGCGGCCUCCCGCGCCGGGCGGAGUAACCCAGGCGGGGCGGCAGGGUUUUCCCUGGAAGUCGCAGGCCCUUCCUGCGCCCUUGGAGGCCCCGGGGCUCGCCGAGAAGAUGGGAACCCAUCAGGGAGGAAGCCGUUUGAAGGUCGUGCGGGGCCUGGAGGCAGAGCCCUUCCCUGUUCGUCUGUGUCCACGUGGGGGUCCGAGCUGGGUACCAGCACUGUGGUGCAGACAGCCUCCCACCGGGUCCCGGCUGCUACUGGGCAGGAAGGAAGCUGAGGCUCAGAGAAGCGCUGUGACUCGCAAAGGCCACACAGGGAACACUCGUCUCCUUCCAAAAGUGAAAGGAGUUAACGACAUGAUGGCCGGACUGUGGCCAAGACACAAGCUGCUCCACCGCACACGAUUCCAAGAAUGGCCUCAAAGAAAUGGGAACAAACCAGCCCCGGAUCUGAAGAUGAAUUCGCCUUAAAACAAUCCGGUGAUGCUGAUGAGACCGCCGCGGGACCAGUCUCAAGGUGACCGUCAGAGCUUAUCACGCUGUUCCGCAUGUGGCCCCUCCUCCAGCCUGUGCAGCCCUGAAAUUCCCCUUUAAAAAUGCUCGCCCCAAUUGGCACGAGGGAGCUGCCUUUUGAUCACCAGGCUGCCUUCUCCCUAAGCUGCCGGCCUCCUGAAUAAAGCAACCCUUUUUUUCCCUUCCUUCCCUUUUCUCUUCCUCCCUCCCUCUUCUCUCUCUCUCUCUCUCUCUCUCUCUCUGGCCUCACCUGAGGCACAUACAAAUCCCCAGGCUAGGGGUCCAGUCGGAGCUGCAGCUGCCAGCCACAGCCACAGCAACGCGGGGUCCAAGCUGCAUCCGCAACCUACACCACAGCUCACGGCAAGCCCAGAUCCUUAACCCACUGAGCGAGGCCAGGGAUCGAACCCGCAUCCUCCUGGAUACGAGUUGGGUUCGUUACUCCGAGCCACAAAGGGAACUCCAGGCAAUCUUUUCUUUCCACCAACAUUUGUCUCUGCAAUAACGGCAAGCAGUCCGACCUGUUGCUAGCAUCGUCUUAAAGGUACAGCUCAAGAAAUAAACCUGUGUGCACCCCAGGAAAUAGCUCAGAUCCAGAAGGAAACUUCUGAUUAUCUCAGCAAUUCCUGAGGACCCUCUCCCAGUUACCCCACCCUCCUGAGGGCCCACCACUCUGAUUUCUGUCACUUUGGUCUUUUUGUCUUUUUAGGGCCGCACCAGAGGCAUAUGGAGAUUUCCAGGCUAGGGGUCUAAUCGGAGAAACAGUGGUUGCACAAAAGACACUCUGGGAGUUCCCGAUGUGGCUCAGCAGUAAUGGAACUGACUAAUAUCCAUGACGCAGAUUCGAUCCCUGGCCUCACGCAGUGGGUUAAGGAUCCAGCGUUGCCAUGAACAGUGGUUUAGGUCACAGAUGCUUCGAAAAUCAGCAAUACAAAUGGACAGCUUUGCCCUGAAAGGCCUGUUUCCUUCAGCGAAGAUCACGCCUCUGAAGGCUCUCACCUGGGGCCACCCAGACAGGCUGCUCGGGAACCUGGCCUCCGGGUGUGUGAUGGGAUUUUCCACCUCUUCCGCCCAGCCCAUGCCCGGCACAGCUUGGGCACACAGCCAAUGCCCCAAGGUCCCUUACCCUCUAUCUUAGCCUCCCUACCUGGCCUCUGGGUGUGCGAUGGGAUUUUCCACCUCUUCCGCCCAGCCCAUGCCCAGCACAGCUUGGGCACACAGCCAAUGCCCCAAGGUCCCUUACCCUCUAUCUUAGCCUCCCUUGGCCCCCCAGGCAGUAGGUCUCAGCUUAGGGGCAGCAGAAAGCACUGGUCCACUGGGCCUGGGGCAGAGUGCUUCCUUUCUCAGCCUGGACACACCCACUGGGGGCUGGGGCCCUCACGUCCCCGCCCCUGCCGCCCAGUGCCAGCCCCUCCCUGGAGGAAGCCGCAGACGGGGUGGUUUCUUUAGAGGAAAGGACCCUUAGUGGGUCCACUCAGCCUGCCACUCACGGGGGCCUGUCCCCCCGGGAACGUGGCAGCUCCCAGGACCGCCUCUCCCAGGACGUGGGUGACCCAAUGGCUGGAAGGUAAAUGUUAUGCAGAAGUGCCAGGGCUUGGGGGUUCUGAGCAGAGACCACCCGAAUCCUGGACACCCUGGCUGAUCUAGGGCACUGGGGCUUAAUAAGCGAUCUGGUCUCAACUCCGUCCCUGAAGAGAAGCGGAUCUCACUGCCAUGAGCCCCUCCGCCCGACUCUGGGGCUUAGGGAGCCUUUCUCCAAGGAGGCGCUUCCUUUUCUGAGUCUCAUUUUUCUUUUCUUUUGCCAUAUGGAGGUUCCCAGAUGAGGGGUUGAAUUGGAGCUGCAGCCGCCGGCCUACACCACAGCCACAGCAACACCGGAUCUGAGCUGAGUCUGCGAUCUAUACCACAGCUCACGGCAACGCCAGAUCCUUAACCCACGGAGCGAGGCCAGGGAUUGAACCCGCAUCCUCAUGGAUACUAGUGGGGUUUACUAACUGUUGAGCCACAGCGGGAACUCCGAGCCUCACCUUUCUCAUCUCUAAGAAGGAUGUUACUGUAGCCCCUGGGGGUUGAGAGCAGCUGGCAGCCUUGAGAAGCCUCUCCUGCAGUUUGACAGAGGUCCCCCAGAAGAGUCUGCUGGCUUCCAACUGGCCAGAAAACUGGCCCAGCUGCAUUCCAGACUCCCUGGCAUGGGGGGAAGAGGUCUCCGAGGGGGCUGAACCUGACUCAUCUCUAGGGAGAAGGUGAGGAGGCUGGAGGGAACACCAGGAGCCCAGGGGCUGUUUCGUCCGGUCCUGAGCCUCCUGCCGCCGUGGUUUUCAGCAUCCCCACUUCCCGAGGGAAAAGCCGAGGCUCAGGGAGUCACUGCCCCGCAUCCCUCUGGGGGCGCCUCUUGGCUCCUCACUCCUGCUGUGCCUGGGAGGUUUGGGGAGAUGGGUGCAACAGGCAGGGGGCGGGUGGUGGGUCCUUCCCAGGGGAAAUCCCGUCCCUUACCUCUUUCUUGUAGAUGGGCCGGCCAGGGCCCCCCAGGGAUAAGGUCUCUGCCACCCAGCUCUCCGGCGCCCCUGCCGCCCCCCACCGCGCCCCAGCUGAUGCCAUCCUUGGCCCUGAGGACUCGGACCUGGUGCCCUCCCUGACCUUGGCCGCAGCCCUGGUCCUGUUGUUCCUCCUGCUCUCCGCCUGGCUGGUGUGGGACAGGUCCCUCCAACCCUCCUGCUAACGUGGGUCCCGAGCAGGGGCUCGAGGGGGCAUGGCCCAGGGCCAGGAGUGGCAGGAGCGGAACCAGGGAUGGGGCUGGCUGGGCAUUGCAGCCAAACCCUGUGACCGGCUAGCCCUUGCCCAUGCGACCCCAGGGGACCCUGGGAGACCCUCGAGUCCCCCCCACUGGAGGGCAGGAACCUGGAUGAGCCCCGGACUGCGCUUCAGAAGGCCGCCGCUGCUGGAGCCUCACAGGAGCCACAGGAGGUGGGCUGAGAACCCGGGGCAGUGAAAGAGCAUGGCAGAGCUGCUUGAAAUCAUUUCUCCCCGUUUGCUGCCCGGUCCCCAUCCUAACUGCUUGCAAAUAAAGCCUGGUGACCCAGGGUAUUUGUGAACUGAGUCAAAAAUGAGAGUUCCAGCCCAGGCUCCACCCAGGCUGGGCCGUGUGACAGCAGACAAGGCCCCUCUCUCUUCUAAACCUCGGUUUUCCUGGUCAUUUUUUUUUUUCUUUGUAGGGCCACACUCGCUGCAUGUAGAAGUUUCCAGGCUAGGGGUCUAAUUGGAGCUGCAGCUGCUGGCCUACGCCACAGUCACAGCCAUGUCAGAUCCAAGCUGCGUCUGCGACCUACACCACAGCUCAUGGCAAUGCUGGAGCCUUAACCCUCUAAGCGAGGCCAGGGAUUGAACCCGCAACCUUAUGGUUCUUUGUCAGAGUCAUCUCUGCUGCACACAGGAACUCCUCCCCAGUCACUGAAGGAGGGUGGCAAUACCUCGUCCUGGGCAUUGUUGGGAGGGUCCACCCGUGGCUAGGCAUUCUGUGGUCACCUCUGCAGCAGUCUCCUUUUGCGUCUGCCCCUCUCCCUCUUUCUGGACCCAGAAAACCCUUAGGGGAAGCCCAGGACCCGGUCCUCCAACGCCCGUCCCGGUCCCCGCUGGCAGCCAGGGCUGAGGCCCAUCAGAGGUGGGAUGCCAUGGUCUUGACCGCCACCUGCUGGCUGAAUUUAGAAUCACAAUCUGCUGCGAGAGCCCUUUGGGGUUCCUUUCAGGGCCAUGGAGGUGAAAGGUGUUUUCUCUUUUUAAGGUGGGACUUUUGAGCCUGUGAAUACGCACAAACCUCAUUACCCAGAGAGAACCUCUUUCAUCAUUUGCUAUUUAUCUUCUUUCCCUCCACUUCUUUUUUCUUCUUUUGAAGUUAUUAUUGACGUAGAGUUGAUUCGCAAGGUUGUGAUAACUUCUGCUGUAUAACAAAGUGAUUUGGUGAUACAUGGACACGCAUCCACUCUUUCUCAGGUUCUUUCCCCACAUAGGUUAUCACAGAAUCUCGGGUGGAGGUCCCUGCUGCGCGGCAGGUGCCCAUCCACCGUCCGUUCUGUGCACGAUGGUGUGUGGGGUAUGCUGAUCUCAGGUCCCCAGUCCCUCCCUCCGCUGCCGUGGUAACAACAGUUUGUUUUCAAAGUCUGAGGCUGUUUGUGUUUCGUAAAUAAGUUCAUUUGUAUCUUUUUUUUUUUAGAUUCAACAUAUAAGUGACAUGAUGUUUGUCUCUGCCGAGUUUACUUCACUUAGUAUGAUAAUCUCUGGGGGCAUUAAAGCUGCUGCAAAUGGCCUGCCUGCCUUCCUUCUUCCUUUCUUUCCUUCUUUCUUUCCCUUUCCCUUCCCUCCCUCCUUCCCCCACAGCAGGCAGGGGCUUGAUGUGGGAUUUCAGUUUUCCCGACCAGGGAUUGAACCUGGGCCGCGACAGUGCAAGGGCUGAAUCCUAACCACUAGACCACCAGGGAACUCUCUUUUGUUCUUUUUAUGGCUGAGUAAUAUUCCACGGGAUAUACAUAUUACAUGCUCUUUAUCCACUCCUCUGCUGGGGGACACUGAGGUUGCUUCCCUGUCCUGGCAAUUGGGAACAGGGCUGCAAUGAACAUCAGGGCGCAUGUAUCUUUUCAGGGUAUGAUUUUUUCUUUCCCUCUAUUUCUGCAUCUAUAACCUCCUUAUGGAAAAGUUGUCAGAGCAGAGGCAGAGGAGGUGGGGAGAGCUGUGUGCAGGGCGGCGGGGGCCGGGGAGGGGUGGUGCGCCCAAGGUCAUCGGUGACCUCCUGUCCCACCUCAGCCC